GUCUCAUUAGCUCAAUGGUAGAGCAAAAUACUUCUAAUAUUUGUAUCUUAGUUCGAAUCUAGGAUGAGAUU
rnacentral:tRNA from 1 species